CUUAGCGAACCGAAACAUCUGAGUAGCUAAAGGAAGGAAAAUCAACCGAGACCCCGUUAGUAGCGGCAAGCGAGAGCGGAACAAGGGUUUUCAUCAAAAGAAAUCCGAAGCGGUUUCAUUCGAUUUGUUGUGGAUUGGAUGAUGGAAAAACUAGCAAGCAGCAAGCGUAGUUAGAAAAGUUGCCGUAGCGCGCCCUACGGAGUUGUACAAAGUCAGCAACCGUUUUGGGGCGCAAGCAUAGGCAACACAGGACUGAUGACGGGGUGGGGCGCGCAGUGAACUGGUUUUCUAAAAAGAUUGGAAGAUCCGGCCAAAGAAGGUGAUAGCCCUGUUCAUUCGUUCCCAUGGUUUGAUCCUUCCCAGUAAAACACGGCGUGUUCAAAUGAUGAUCGCUUUUACGCGAGAAAGGGGGACCACCCUCUAAGCCUAAGUAUUCCUCAAUGACCGAUAGCGUACAAGUACCGUGAGGUACAGGUGAAAAGAACCCCAAUCGGGGAGUGCAAUAGAGAACCUGAGAUCCGAUGCGAACAAUCAGUCGAAGGAGCGGAGCGCGGGCGCACUCACUCUAACGGUG
rnacentral:rRNA from 2 species